CCUACGGGAGGCAGCAGUGGGGAAUAUUGCACAAUGGGCGCAAGCCUGAUGCAGCGACGCCGCGUGAGGGAUGACGGCCUUCGGGUUGUAAACCUCUUUCAGUAGGGAAGAAGCGAAAGUGACGGUACUUGCAGAAGAAGCGCCGGCUAACUACGUGCCAGCAGCCGCGGUAAUACGUAGGGCGCAAGCGUUAUCCGGAAUUAUUGGGCGUAAAGAGCUCGUAGGCGGUUUGUCGCGUCUGCCGUGAAAGUCCGGGGCUCAACUCCGGAUCUGCGGUGGGUACGGGCAGACUAGAGUGAUGUAGGGGAGACUGGAAUUCCUGGUGUAGCGGUGAAAUGCGCAGAUAUCAGGAGGAACACCGAUGGCGAAGGCAGGUCUCUGGGCAUUAACUGACGCUGAGGAGCGAAAGCAUGGGGAGCGAACAGGAUUAGAUACCCUGGUAGUCCAUGCCGUAAACGUUGGGCACUAGGUGUGGGGGACAUUCCACGUUUUCCGCGCCGUAGCUAACGCAUUAAGUGCCCCGCCUGGGGAGUACGGCCGCAAGGCUAAAACUCAAAGAUAGUAGCGNGNGAGAGCGACGACGACGACGAGGAGGAGGAG
rnacentral:rRNA from 1 species